UACGGGGGGAGCAAGCGUUGUUCGGAUUUACUGGGCGUAAAGGGCGCGUAGGCGGCGUGACAAGUCACUUGUGAAAUCCCCCGGCUUAACCUGGGAACUGCGUCUGAUACUGGAGGGCUUGAGUGCGGGAGAGGGAUGUGGAAUUCCAGGUGUAGCGGUGAAAUGCGUAGAUAUCUGGAGGAACACCGGUGGCGAAGGCGGCAUCCUGGACCGACACUGACGCUGAGGCGCGAAAGCUAGGGUAGCAAACGGG
rnacentral:rRNA from 1 species